UGGGGAAUUUUCCGCAAUGGGCGAAAGCCUGACGGAGUGACGCCGCGUGGGGGACGAAGGCCUUCGGGUUGUAAACCCCUGUCAGAGGGAAAGAAGGGUCGGCGCGUGAAUAGCGCGUCGAUCUGACGGUACCUUCAGAGGAAGCCCCGGCCAACUCUGUGCCAGCAGCCGCGGUAAGACAGAGGGGGCAAGCGUUGCUCGGAAUCACUGGGCGUAAAGGGCGCGUAGGCGGGAUGGCAAGUCGGUCGUGAAAUCCCUGGGCUCAACUCAGGGGGGUCGGCCGAUACUGCCGUUCUUGAGGGAUGCAGAGGAGACUGGAAUUCCCGGUGUAGCGGUGAAAUGUGUAGAGAUCGGGAGGAACACCGGUGGCGAAGGCGGGUCUCUGGGCAUUCCCUGACGCUGAGGCGCGAAAGCGUGGGGAGCAAACGGGAUUAGAUACCCCCGUAGUCC
rnacentral:rRNA from 1 species